rnacentral:rRNA from 1 species
GUAGGUGGCAAGCGUUGUCCGGGAAUUAUUGGGCGUAAAGCGCGCGCAGGCGGUUCUUUAAGUCUGAUGUGAAAGCCCACGGGCUCAACCGUGGAGGGUCAUUGGAAACUGGAGAACUUGAGUACAGAAGAGGAAAGCGGAAUUCCACGUGUAGCGGUGAAAUGCGUAGAGAUGUGGAGGAACACCAGUGGCGAAGGCGGCUUUCUGGUCUGUAACUGACGCUGAGGCGCGAAAGCGUGGGGAGCAAACAGGAUUAGAUACCCUGGUAGUCCACGCCGUAAACGAUGAGUGCUAAGUGUUAGGGGGGUUUCCGCCCCUUAGUGCUGCAGCUAACGCAUUAAGCACUCCGCCUGGGGAGUACGGCCGCAAGGCUG